rnacentral:miRNA from 1 species
UUAUUGCUUGAGAAUACA